CAGUCGCCGCGGGAAUACAGAGGGUGCGAGCGUUAAUCGGAUUUACUGGGCGUAAAGCGUGCGUAGGCGGCUUUUUAAGUCGGAUGUGAAAUCCCUGAGCUUAACUUAGGAAUUGCAUUCGAUACUGGGAAGCUAGAGUAUGGGAGAGGAUGGUAGAAUUCCAGGUGUAGCGGUGAAAUGCGUAGAGAUCUGGAGGAAUACCGAUGGCGAAGGCAGCCAUCUGGCCUAAUACUGACGCUGAGGUACGAAAGCAUGGGGAGCAAACAGGAUUAGAUACCCCGGUAGUCCCUGUCUCUUAUAA
rnacentral:rRNA from 1 species